AUGCAGUCGAGCGGAUGAAGGAGCUUGCUCCUGGAUUCAGCGGCGGACGGGUGAGUAAUGCCUAGGAAUCUGCCUGGUAGUGGGGGACAACGUUUCNAAAGGAACGCUAAUACCGCAUACGUCCUACGGGAGAAAGCAGGGGACCUUCGGGCCUUGCGCUAUCAGAUGAGCCUAGGUCGGAUUAGCUAGUUGGUGAGGUAAUGGCUCACCAAGGCGACGAUCCGUAACUGGUCUGAGAGGAUGAUCAGUCACACUGGAACUGAGACACGGUCCAGACUCCUACGGGAGGCAGCAGUGGGGAAUAUUGGACAAUGGGCGAAAGCCUGAUCCAGCCAUGCCGCGUGUGUGAAGAAGGUCUUCGGAUUGUAAAGCACUUUAAGUUGGGAGGAAGGGUUGUAGAUUAAUACUCUGCAAUUUUGACGUUACCGACAGAAUAAGCACCGGCUAACUCUGUGCCAGCAGCCGCGGUAAUACAGAGGGUGCAAGCGUUAAUCGGAAUUACUGGGCGUAAAGCGCGCGUAGGUGGUUUGUUAAGUUGGAUGUGAAAUCCCCGGGCUCAACCUGGGAACUGCAUCCAAAACUGGCAAGCUAGAGUAUGGUAGAGGGUGGUGGAAUUUCCUGUGUAGCGGUGAAAUGCGUANAA
rnacentral:rRNA from 1 species